CUCAGCCAUGCUGAGGAUGCUCUGCAGGAGGCUUCCUGGAGCAGAGCUGGGGAGAGGGCUUUCUUUCCGGGGAGCUCUAGUCUUCACCUUCACCUUGGACAUCAUCUCCUGACUUCCAGAGCAGACCCUCCAGCCUUCCAUCACAGAACCUUUGGCCUCCUGAUAGAGAGUUGCACAGGACAACACAGAGAGCUCCAGGUCUUCAGCCUCUGACUGGAUCUUUUGAAUCUCCAACAUUCAGACAGCUUGUGCACUCUUCCACACCUUACUGCAAUAGGCCACUGCCCUAGCUAUUGGAAAUAUCACUUUUUCAAUCAAUCGACUGAUGAUAAGAAAUAAGAAUCAGAUCAAGAAGCCCCAUCCAUCGCAUUGUUAAUCUCUUCCUUCUCUGAACUCAACAGCAUGGUGACUGGGUGUUGUCCGAUUUCUCUGCAUGUCCCCCUUGUGUGGCAAAACACUCGGUACAUAGGAAGGACCCAACCACUGUGGGCUGGAAGAGCACAUUCGGACCUGAAGAGCUGGAUUCUGAUAUCAGAAAAGACUUCUGUGUCUGUUGCUGCCAUGCCUUCCCAUGCACCUCCAUUUGACUCAAACAGCUUUUAUAGGAAGUAAGAAACAAAAAUAAUUCACCCUUCAAGAUUUG